GGUGAGUAAUGCUUAGGAAUCUGCCUAUUAGUGGGGGACAACAUCUCGAAAGGGAUGCUAAUACCGCAUACGUCCUACGGGAGAAAGCAGGGGAUCUUCGGACCUUGCGCUUAAAAUAAGAGUGAGCCUAAGUCGGAUUUAGCUAGUUGGUGAGGUAAAGGCCUACCAAGGCGACGAUCUGUAUGCGGGUCUGAGAGGAUGAUCCGCCACACUGGAACUGAGACACGGCCCAGACUCCUACCGGAGGCAGCAGUGGGGAAUAUCGGACAAUGGGGGGAACCCUGAUCCAGCCAUGACGCGUGUGUGAAGAAGGCCUUAUGGUUGUAAAGCACUUUAAGCGAGGAGGAGGCUACUUUAGUUAAUACCUAGAGAUAGUGGACGUUACUCGCAGAAUAAGCACCGGCUAACUCUGUGCCAGCAGCCGCGGUAAUACAGAGGGUGCAAGCGUUAAUCGGAUUUACUGGGCGUAAAGCGCGCGUAGGCGGCUAAUUAAGUCAAAUGUGAAAUCCCCGAGCUUAACUUGGGAAUUGCAUUCGAUACUGGUUAGCUAGAGUGUGGGAGAGGAUGGUAGAAUUCCAGGUGUAGCGGUGAAAUGCGUAGAGAUCUGGAGGAAUACCGAUGGCGAAGGCAGCCAUCUGGCCUAACACUGACGCUGAGGUGCGAAAGCAUGGGGAGCAAACAGGAUUAGAUACCCUGGUAGUCCAUGCCGUAAACGAUGUCUACUAGCCGUUGGGGCCUUUGAGGCUUUAGUGGCGCAGCUAACGCGAUAAGUAGACCGCCUGGGGAGUACGGUCGCAAGACUAAAACUCAAAUGAAUUGACGGGGGCCCGCACAAGCGGUGGAGCAUGUGGUUUAAUUCGAUGCAACGCGAAGAACCUUACCUGGCCUUGACAUAGUAAGAACUUUCCAGAGAUGGAUUGGUGCCUUCGGGAACUUACAUACAGGUGCUGCAUGGCUGUCGUCAGCUCGUGUCGUGAGAUGUUGGGGUAAGUCCCGCAACGAGCGCAACCCUUUUCCUUAAUUUGCCAGCGAGUAAUGGUCGGGAACUUUAAGGAUACUGCCACUGACAAACUGGAGGAAGACGGGGACGACGUCAAGUCAUCAUGGCCCUUACGGCCAGGGCUACACACCGUGCUACAAUGGUCGGUACAAAGGGUUGCCUACACAGCCGAUGUGAUGCUAAUCUCAAAAAGCCGAAUCGGAAUCAGGAUUGGAGUCUGCAACUCCGACUCCAUGGAAGUCGGAAUCGCUAGUAAUCGCGAAUCAGAA
rnacentral:rRNA from 1 species